rnacentral:rRNA from 1 species
UACGUAGGGUGCAAGCGUUAAUCGGAAUUACUGGGCGUAAAGCGUGCGCAGGCGGUUCGGAAAGAAAGAUGUGAAAUCCCAGAGCUUAACUUUGGAACUGCAUUUUUAACUACCGAGCUAGAGUGUGUCAGAUGGAGGUGGAAUUCCGCGUGUAGCAGUGAAAUGCGUAGAUAUGCGGAUGAACACCGAUGGCGAAGGCAGCCUCCUGGGAUAACACUGACGCUCAUUCACGACAGCAUCGGGAGCAAAAA